GUGUGACUGCGUACCUUUUGUAUAAUGGGUCAGCGACUUAUAUUCUGUAGCAAGGUUAACCGAAUAGGGGAGCCGGAGGGAAACCGAGUCUUAACCGGGCGUUAAGUUGCAGGGUAUAGACCCGAAACCCGGUGAUCUAGCCAUGGGCAGGUUGAAGGUUGGGUAACACUAACUGGAGGACCGAACCGACUAAUGUUGAAAAAUUAGCGGAUGACCUGUGGCUGGGGGUGAAAGGCCAAUCAAACCGGGAGAUAGCUGGUUCUCCCCGAAAGCUAUUUAGGUAGCGCCUCGUGAAUUCAUCUCCGGGGGUAGAGCACUGUUUCGGCUAGGGGGCCAUCCCGGCUUACCAACCCGAUGCAAACUGCGAAUACCGGAGAAUGUUAUCACGGGAGACACACGGCGGGUGCUAACGUCCGUCGUGAAGAGGGAAACAACCCAGACCGCCAGCUAAGGUCCCAAAGUCAUGGUUAAGUGGGAAACGAUGUGGGAAGGCCCAGACAGCCAGGAUGUUGGCUUAGAAGCAGCCAUCAUUUAAAGAAAGCGUAAUAGCUCACUGGUCGAGUCGGCCUGCGCGGAAGAUGUAACGGGGCUAAACCAUGCACCGAAGCUGCGGCAGCGACACUGUGUGUUGUUGGGUA
rnacentral:rRNA from 1 species